rnacentral:tRNA from 1 species
UUUGGAGUAGACCAAUAGGUAGGUCAUAAAUUUUUGAUAUUUAAGAUUAAGUGUUCGAAUCACUUUUCCAAAA